rnacentral:tRNA from 1 species
GGGGCCGUAGCCUAGCUCGGUAUGGCGACGGGCUCCAGACCCGUAGAGUCAGGAGUUCAAAUCUCCUCGGCCCCA